AAAAGGAAAAAAAAAGACAAGUUGGAUGGUUUACUAUCUUUCUUUCUCUAAAAAAAUAAAACAAUGAAAAAACCACUCAAAUAAUUAAAAAAUUAAUUUGAUAAAAAAUAACCUCGGAAUAAUUUUAACAUGAGUUGUGCUGGAAUUUUAUUGAUAAUAUUUCGUCCCUUUUGUUAUUAAGUUUUUAGCCCUUAAAUGAAAAAUUAUAGGAUUCGGAUGAUAUUCGUUUCUUAUUAGGGUUGAGUGGUCCUCUUAGGGUUGAGUAAUCCUCACUGGAUUAUAAUAUUUAAUCUAAUUGUUAGAAAUGAUCAAAGAAAUUGAUCCAAAGAUUAAAAAUUUGACAGCAAAAUAGGGUAAAUACUAUUGAUAGUAUUCUAGCCCAACUCAUUUUAACAUUUUUUAUAUAUGCAUGGUAAAAAGUAAAAAAAUCUUUGUUGCGCGCACCGACAAGAAAAGGAAAGGAAAUUGAAUCCGAAAACUUUGGAA
rnacentral:lncRNA from 1 species